GCCCGCGCCCUCGCCGCCGCAGCACCGUGCGCGCGACGCAGCUCCUACACGCACGACGCACUCUCAUACUAAUAACAAUGAAUUCCCACAUCGGCCCCCUCGCAGCUGUGCUACUAUAAUAGUUUAUGUGAUCGCCACCGGCCCAGUGCUCUCCCGGCCGCGAGACCGGUCCAGAUCGGGAAGCUGCGCCGGCCUCACGCCCGACUACAGUGGAAUGCGGCAAUUUUAACUACUGCGGACCCCGGGGACCCAUAUAAGAAUAGGGAUCGAACGAUUACAAUCCCAGCCGUAAGAGCGAGGCGCCUGGCGGUGGUCGGAUGCAGCUCGCACUGGUGAUGCAUCAACGAUGAGUCGCCGCGCGCGGCCGUGACAUGGGAGCGCAGGCAUGGGCUGGCGCGCCGUGCAACCGCCGCACAUCGCCGCCGGCUUGCUCCUACUGCUGCUAGUUAACCUGCCAGUAACCUGCCACCAAGACCACCAAGAUGCUGUGCACAUCACGGCGAUCCUCGGCGAGAGCGUGGUGUUCAACUGCCAGGUGGACUUCCCGGAAGACAUCCCGGUGCCGUACGUGUUGCAGUGGGAGAAGAAGGUAGGCGAAACGGGACAGGACAUCCCGAUCUACAUCUGGUACGAGAGCUACCCGACGCACAGCGGCGAGGGCUACGAGGGCAGGGUGUCGCGCGUGGCGCCCGACUCGCCCUACGGCGCGGCCAGCCUCAACCUCACCAAUAUCCGCGAGUCUGACCAGGGUUGGUACGAGUGUAAGGUGGUGUUCCUCAACCGGUCACCCAACCAGCACAAGAAUGGCACAUGGUUCCACUUGGACGUGCACGCGCCACCACGCUUCUCCAUCACACCGGAAGACAUUAUUUACGUUAAUUUAGGAGACGCCAUAAUCCUCAACUGCCAAGCGGAGGGCACGCCGACGCCCGAGAUCCUGUGGUACAAGGACGCGAACCCCGUGGAGCCGUCCGGCACGGUGGGCAUCUUCAACGACGGCACGGAGCUGCGGAUCAGCAACAUUCGCCACGAGGACAUCGGCGACUAUACGUGCAUCGCGCGCAAUGGCGAGGGACAGGUCUCGCAUACCGCGAGGGUCAUUAUUGCUGGAGGAGCUGUUAUUACUAUGCCGCCAACGAAUCAAACAAAGUUAGAAGGAGAGAAGGUGCAGUUCUCAUGUGAAGCGAAGGCGUUGCCGGGCAACGUAACGGUGAAGUGGUUCCGCGAGGGUGCUCCGGUGGCCGAGGUCGCAGCCCUGGAGACACGCGUCACUAUCCGGAGAGAUGGGGCUCUGGUCAUCAACCCGGUGGCGGCAGAUGACUCGGGACAGUAUCUGUGUGAAGUGUCCAACGGGAUCGGAGACCCUCAAAGUGCUUCGGCCUAUUUGAAUGUUGAAUAUCCAGCGAAAGUUACGUUUACUCCAACCGUGCAGUACCUCCCAUUCCGUCUGGCGGGUGUCGUGCAGUGCUACAUAAAGGCCAACCCUCCCCUCCAAUACGUGACCUGGACGAAGGACAAGCGGCUGCUGGAGCCGUACCAGACAAAGGACAUCGUCAUCAUGAACAACGGCUCCUUGCUCUUCACGCGGGUCAACCAGAACCAUCAGGGUCGCUAUACUUGUACACCUUAUAACGCGCAGGGAACCCAAGGCUCUUCUGGUCCGAUGGAAGUGUUAGUUCGUAAACCACCAGUGUUCACAGUGGAACCGGAACCCCUGUACCAAAGAAAGGUGGGCGAGUCAGUGGAGAUGCACUGCGAGGCGCAGGAGGCGGAGGGCACGCAGCGGCCGUCGGUGCUGUGGCGGCGGCGCGACGGGCUGCCGCUGCAGAAGGCGCGCGUGCGGGCGCUGGGCGGCAACAUCACCAUCGACACGCUGCGCCGCCAGGACUUCGGCAUCUACCAGUGCGUCGCCUCCAACGAGGUGGCAACGAUAGUAGCGGACACGCAGCUGGUGAUCGAGGGCACGCAGCCGCACGCGCCGUACAACGUGUCGGGCACGGCCACCGAGUUCCAGGUGACGCUGCGCUGGCAGCCGGGCUACGCGGGCGGGCCCGACUACAAGCAGGACUACACCAUCUGGUACCGCGAGGCCGGCUUCUCCGAGUGGACUAAGGUGCCCGUCACGCCCUCCGGUGCUACCUCUGUCACAAUAAACCGGCUGCAGCCUGGCACCACGUAUGAGUUUCAAGUGAACAGCAAGAAUACAAUAGGAGAAGGAAUGAUGAGUAAAGCUAUUACGAUAAGAACUCUCGAUGUAGGCGCCAAACCGAAGGCGGCACCGACCCCGGCGGGGCCUGUAGACGAAAAGAUAUUCCAAAACGCACCCGAAGGCUCUGGUCCGAAGUCUGGUCCUCCUCGGAACCUGACAGUGACGGAGGUGCACAACGGGUUCCUGAUCACGUGGCAGGCGCCGUUAGAGCGCUCGCACCUGGUGCAGUACUACACCAUCAAGUACCGCACCGACGCGCAGUGGAAGACCCUCAACCGAGGACAGAUACGCCCUGAGGAGACCAGCUAUUUGGUAAAAAAUCUAGUGGGUGGUCGUACAUAUUACUUCCGCGUGCUCGCCAACUCAGCGACGAGCUACGAGAGUUCCGAGGAAGUGAAGUUCCCGGUGCCGGCGCGGGUGAAGCACAAAGCCAUCACGGCGGGCGUGGUGGGCGGGAUCCUGUUCUUCAUCGUCGCCAUCAUCCUGUCGGUGUGCGCCGUCAAGAUCUGCAACAAGCGCAAGCGACGCAAGCAGGAGAAAGAAAUUAUUCGAUUGCAGCAUACAACAUGGUAGCCGCGCGACUGACAGACCUCCGCGCCGCUGAUAGCACUCAAGUGCCUUUUAAGAAGAAAUCAGAUUUAGAGAACGCGGAAUAUCGAGUAUAGUGCAGUGUUUGCGGUUUACUGCUAACUGGGUGUGGCCGGCGUCGCGCUGCGGCGGCGAGGCGCGCUACUGGGUGUCGGUGCGGCGCGUGUCGCCCGCGCCCUCCGCCUCGCCCGCGCCCUCGCUGGCGCCCUCCUCCUCCGACGACGGCGGCUUCCUGCCGCGCCUGCGCGCGCCGCUGCGGCCCUCCGCCGCGCCGCCGCUGUUCCGCGCCUCCUCCCCGGCGCUAGCGCUCCACUGGCCGCCCUGGCCCCCGUGGCCCCCCUGGGCGGCCGCCUGGACGCCCUGGUCGCCGCUACACGUCUCCGACCUCAGCUCCGUGCCCUUCCCGAGCUCUGCGGACGGCUCGUUCCCGACGCCUCCGUCUCCCUUCCGCUUGAGAUCGCUGCGACAGAGCGCACACGACGCGCGCUCCGCCGGCGCCCUCGCCCGCCCCCGCGCGCGUCCACUGCCGCGCCACGCGCGCCCGCGCCCCGUCGCCGACCUGCCGCCGCCUCCGCACGAAGCGUCGCCCGAGAGCCGCUCCUCCUCCAGCGGGUUCGGCAGCAAGAACGCGUCGUCGUCGCAACACAACCGCAGCAGUCGCACGGGCAGCCUCGCGGAGUGGAGGCCGCCGCCGUACCGGCCGCCGCCGCCGGCGCCGCCGCCGCGGCCGGGCUCGGGCGAGGCGGGCGACGCGGGCUCGGUGGACGUGCACUACGAGUGGGACCGCGCCACGCGCACGCCGACGCCGUCGACGCCGGAGCGGCCGCGCGCGCGGCCCUCGCGCGACGACGUGGAGGCUCGCGUCCGCGCCAUGAAGGAGGAGUUCCUCGAGUUCCGCAAGCGCCAGGCGCUGCGCCGCCGCUCGCCGGAGCCGCUGGCGCCGCCGCCGCCGCUGUCGCCGCUCUCCCCGAUGUCCCCGCUGUCGCCACUGUCCCCGAUGUCGCCGCUGGCUGCGCUGGCACACUCACCGCCCGCGCCGGCCGAAACUGUCUGCUGACCACCGACAAAAUUACCAUUUUCGAGUUUUAUUAGCUCAGAAUGGUUGAUUCACUCCCCACCGAGCUCUAAGUUCUAUUGAUGUACGGUUCUUCUUACCAGAGAUGUGAUGGAAGAAUUACCCAUACAUCUGUUUUAACUUCUGCUGCCCCUUCCUUAAUCAUUAUUAUUUAAAUAACACUAUUAGCUUGAGCAUUAACUUAUUGAAUAUGAGGCGCGAGCGGUGACCGCUAGUCAAUGCUGACUGUCGGUAAAUGUUCAACAACCAGUAAAGCCCAGAUCCACAAACGGGGGCUAUUCGGAUGUAGGUAUUGAUUUGGUACGUUCACUGUUUAUGUAGUGUUAAAAGAUCCCACCAGGUGACUGGCGCUACGACCACGCCGCCGGUAACCAUUAUUAUAAAUAAUAGAUUCUUAGAAAAUGAUGACUUGAGUCGCACAAAAAAAAUUGCGACUGUAAUAAUGUACGUAUAAAAGUGGAUGCAGUGGCGUUUUAUGCUCGCACUGUCUGUUUUCCUAUCUGAUAAAAUAUGUCAAUUAAAUUGUUCGGUGUAAUCUCGCACCUCGCAACACGUUUAUUGAAAUAAACAUGGCACAAUGUGACUGGCGAUAGCCGCAAAAACGAACACACUUCCACUUUUUAUUCCCAUUAAUAAAUAUGCAUCGAAACCUUCUAGGUAUUAGGCUAAUGCACUGACUGAAUGCUAAAAUACUUACUAUAAUCAGAAGUGCCAUACACACAACAUAAAGUAUCGUUGUAAUAUUUAUUGUGAUGUGGGCCGCAUGCCCGGCGAGCAGCCAGUGCGAGUGACGUUCACCUUAACGCUUUAGGUAUGAGCGGGGAAGCAUCCACGGCACCGCUCAUACCAACAUUAUAUUGUAGUUAUUAUUGUAACUAAUUACGAAUAACGAUUUACUAAAAGAACAGUCGCGACUGAGGGUCGAGCGCGCGAGCAGACGGCUCAGGGUGGACCGCGCCACCACGCGACACGUGUGAUCAGUAGCUACCAGACAGAGUUCCUGCUGACAGGUUGCGCAUUCGGGCUUCAGUCCCGACUGUUCGUUUAUAAUAUACAACAAAAUAAUCAUUAAGUAGAUUUUAGAAAUAAUUUAGAUUGAUACAAAACGUGUAAACUCAGUUUUGUUUGAUUUUUUAAUGAAUUAUUGUUUUACAAGUACAAAUUUAUUUUAUUACAUUAUUUUUAUUUAUGUAGUUACAACAAUUUAAAAUGAACAACUGUACAUAUGUAAAAACAUAUUAGAUAUUACCUAUAUACAUUUAUUUAUUUAGGUGUGGUGUGGUAUGAUUGAGGUUCUGGAGAACUGUUCGCCAGUGCUUGUGACUACUUGCGAGGCACUCGACACUGUCGCCAUUAGACACUGCCGACUUAGGAACUUCCCACAAUUAUAUUUACUAUCUCUUAUAUUAAUGAACUUAUUUUUUUAUCUUGUGUGGCUGAUGACUUAUUGAUUAAUGUUAUGAUGAUGCGACUUGAUGUGUCAAUGCCCGAAGUAAUCGCAAAGGUUCAGUCAAUUGUUUUGGACUUCACUCAAACGAUGAGUAAUUUUUUUAAAGAAUUUUUGUAUGUAAUUUUUUAAGCCCAUUUCUGAAAUUCAUUGGGAGUUAACAUUUGCUGUAUGUUUGUUAUGUCACAAAAAUAAUAUUAAUAUUUUAAUGAUGAUCGGUUCCUUGAAUAAUCCCACCUAUGUAGUUGACCAGUCAAAACCAAGACUGUUUAGUAUUAUGUUCGUUAUUAGGUUUACUUAUUGUGUCAAAUGUGCUCUUAGAUAUUUCCUUGCAUGCAUGUUGCACUUUUUGUACCUAUUGUUUGUAACGCAGAAUUUUUUAUUCGGAUAUCGAGUUAAGGACCUCCUAAAAAUAAGUAUAAAAAUGUACGCUUUAAAGAAAUUGGAAUAAAAUUACUCAUAACAAAUAGAUAGGUAGGUAUGAUAAGGUGUAGUUAGUUGUGCGUGCAUGGAAGCGUCUGACUCGGAGCACAGACGGCGUGAGUGCCGCGGAGUGACGCGAGCGCAUCACUGGUUCACUGCUCACGACGCGACGGUGUACACUUAAGCUACGUGUAACGACACAAUAGAACCUUGUUUUGUUUUUAUUAAUGUUUUACUUGUUCUCUAAGUAACUUCCGCCAUAGCAUACACUUAGAAUAUUAGGAUCGACGAUUUGUGCAAUAAAUUAUCCAUUGUUCACUAUAAAUCAAUUAUGAUAUGUUUAAAUAAUUAUGUAUGUAUAUGCUCAAUAUUUUCGACUGACCAACUGUAAAAAAUACUAUCGAGAAAUGUCUAAAUCAAUAUUGUUUAUUGCGAAUUUAUUAGUUAUGCUUUGUUAUUAGAGAAGAAUACUUUGCAAUUCGUUGAUAAGAAGUAAUGUAGAAUACGUAUUGCGAACAGACAACUGUUGGGCUAGCUUACAAGGAGGCCGUGUGGCCGGCAGUAGGGUGCACGUGCCUACAUCGUCAUUCUUAUUGUUUGGUUGACCGUGGCGGGCAUAUCACGAAUCUAAAAAAUAGUCCUGUUUUAAAUGUUUGAUCUUUUAGUAUAAUACUUAUAGAAUUGUAAAUAUUUGUUUUAUUGAUUUCAUGUCAUUCGGCGAGUGAUAUAAAGUGACCACAAUAUAUAUCGCACACAAUACGUAGGUGCACGACUACAUUCAAGUAGUUUGCGUAGGUUUUAUAUAAUAAUGCCUAAAUCACUCGUUUUACUGAAAUUAUAUUUAAAUGCGAUCAUUGUAACAACCACCAAGACUUGAAAUUCAAUUAACGUGAGCUGUUCACAACGUAUGUACCUACUUAGGUAUUAUUUUGACAAAUUUAUUAUAAUUGUACGUACGAAAGUAAGAAACAAGAGUAAUAUAUACAUAUAGCUCAAACCAUGUGAUAUCUAGUCUUUUCCAUUAUAAAAUUAUCCUUCCUUUACAUACUAAAAUUAUCAUUAAAAAUCGCAUUUUCACUUAUUUUAACCUUUUCAGAUAAUUUGGAUAUGACUGCCUACUAUUUCUCUGAAAUCGAAUCGAUCUGAAAAUGUCGAAGUUACACUAAAGUAAGCCCAAUGUCGAAACACAUGCAUUUCUUGAACGGUCUAUACACUGAACUUUUCUCGUCCAUUUAUUUCAUAAACAUAAGUAAAGGCUAAGAAGCAUUACUGAAUAAAUAGCCCAAACAUCAUUCGACAAUUUCUAGACUAAAAUGAAAAAGAUAGCAAUAUUUUAGAUUAAUGUAACUAAAUCGUAUUUAUCAGUUUGUAUAAAGGAAAGUAAUUAAACGAAGUUAUUGCACAUUGGCAGAAUGUAUUGCGGUGAAACAGGGCACCCAACUCUUAAAAACUUAAGGCAUAAUGCACAAUAUCUCAGCACAAUAAGUGAUAUUAUAAAAAAUACUCGAAUCUUCAAAAUAUCAUACUGAGCACUUUAACUGUUACUCCAAUGAAUCCACAAUAAGUUUGCCUCGAUUGAAAGAAAAUAUGCACAAGCAACAUUUUUAUAACUCGAGUAUAAAUCCAUUUUCAUUUAUAGAAUAUUUUUAGUUAUAAGUGUUGAGAUCAUGUGUUUACUGUGUAAGCACAAAAAGGAUUCAAUUCAAAAAAAUAAAAAUACAAUAACGUUGCUAUGAUUA